AUUUUAUAACAGUGGUUUUCAAACCGCAGGCUAAACAGGCCUCACAAAGCUCCAUUCCAUCUCCUACUUUCGUGCCCUAGCCGACUUUAUUCUUCACGUCAAAUCUCUAUCCGACGAUCCUCCGCGCUGAAUCACCCAGACCUCCAUUCGACGAACAUCCAUGCCGAAUCAGCCAGCCCCGACGGCGAAGCCACCCAUCCCGUCCUGAUCCUGCUGUCCCGAUGAAUCCUGCCGUCCCGAAGAUCCUCCGCGACGAAUCCUGCCGUUCCGAUCCCAUCCCGAUCCUGACGUCCCGUUGCUGGCGGAUAGAGGGAGGAAAGUUUACAAGGGAUCAUUUUUUAGGAGGCGAUACUUCUCAAUGGCUCCAUUAGCAACACCGAUGUACUACUUUGGAGAAAAGUAUGCCCUUGUUCGGUUUAUAAAGUAGGUGAAGUAGGCUGACCUUUAUGUUCAUCUCCGCCAUUGGUCCCUAUGUUUGUGCUGAAUGGAAUUUUGGUGGUUUUCCAGUUUGGUUAAAAUAUGUUCCUGGCAUCAAUUUCAGAACUGACAAUGGGCCUUUCAAGUUUACGAUUUGCUUCAUAUCGAUCUGUCUUUAUUUUUGGGAUUAAUUUAUCAUCUUCCUGUUAAUUAUAAACUUUUGAUUCUAUUUUAUUAUGCAAAAAUUCACUGAGAAGAUAGUCUCAAUGAUGAAAGCUAAAAGAUGAAGGGCUCUUCGAAUCUUAGGGUGGUCCAAUCAUUCUCUCUCAGGUAUUCUCAAUUUCCAGUAAUGAUUCUCUCUGUUUUCUAGCUUAGACCUAACAUUAUAUAGAUUUUCUUAUAUAAUCUAGGCAUAACACGUUUGAACAAUCAUUCACAACAUAUAUAUGAUUUGUAUAAAUAUUAUAAAAUAACAAGAAACAGAUAAAACAUAGAAUGUAUUCACAGAGAAAAGCUGCGAAUAACUGGAGAGGAGAAACCAUCAGAUGCUUUCAUUGCUUAGAAGCUUAUACAGUAGUGUUGAUGUAUUACACUGUUCUUUUCUAUAAUUCCUCAAAUACAACUUCCACUUUUGAUUUGUGUAAAGCUAAGCAUUAAGUUCCUCUUUCAAUAAAAAAUUGCAUGAUGAGUUAUGCUUCAUAUA